CCUACGGGUGGCAGCAGUGAGGAAUAUUGGUCAAUGGCCGGAAGGCUGAACCAGCCAUGCCGCGUGAAGGUCAGUGCCCUAUGGGUUGUAAACCUCUUUUGUCGGAGAACAAAACCCGGGACGUGUCCCGGACUGCGUGUAUCCGAAGAAAAAGCAUCGGCUAACUCCGUGCCAGCAGCCGCGGUAAUACGGAGGAUGCGAGCGUUAUCCGGAUUUAUUGGGUUUAAAGGGUGCGUAGGCGGUCCGUUAAGGCAGCGGUAAAAUUGCGGGGCUCAACCCCGUCGAGCCGUUGAAACUGGCAGACUUGAGUUGGCGAGAAGUACGCGGAAUGCGCGGUGUAGCGGUGAAAUGCAUAGAUAUCGCGCAGAACUCCGAUUGCGAAGGCAGCGUACCGGCGCCAGACUGACGCUGAGGCACGAAAGCGUGGGGAUCGAACAGGAUUAGAUACCCCUGUAGUC
rnacentral:rRNA from 1 species